UCAGAGGUAUGUAGGCUGAUAUUUGAUUGCUAGAAAGAAGCUAUAUGGUAUAGACCUCAAUACCAUGGUGGUAAGUAGGACCCAGACAAAACUUGAAUUGAUUUGUGUAUGCAGGUGAAGAACCGAAUCAAUCAUGUCUCUUGUAGGUCUCCACCUGUUUGGUUUUUUUUGUCCAUCCUUUAGUGUUGCUGUUGUGCCCUAUUCUAAACAUCGUAGUGUGGUUGAACCAACUGGUAUCAGUAGCGUUUAACCUUGUUUGUAGUUCUUUUUCUCUGACCUAGUGGUGCUGUGGGCCAGUCUACUGGGGGAAGUUAGUUACCCUGGCAGAGGUCCCUUCAUGGUUCGCUGUGAUUAAAGGCACCAGGAUGUACAAUUGCUGAGUGAUUUGGUCGCUGUGACUGCAUGUAUGCAAACAUUUUCCAGUUUCCUUAUUUAAUAAAACUUUAUAUUGA